UGGGGAAUAUUGCACAAUGGGCGCAAGCCUGAUGCAGCCAUGCCGCGUGUGUGAAGAAGGCCUUCGGGUUGUAAAGCACUUUCAGCGGGGAGGAAGGCGAUAAGGUUAAUAACCUUGUCGACUGACGUCACCCGCAGAAGAAGCACCGGCUAACUCCGUGCCCGCAGCCGCGGUAAUACGGAGGGUGCAAGCGUUAAUCGGAAUUACUGGGCGUAAAGCGCACGCAGGCGGUCUGUCAAGUCGGAUGUGAAAUCCCCGGGCUCAACCUGGGAACUGCAUUCGAAACUGGCAGGCUAGAGUCUUGUAGAGGGGGGUAGAAUUCCAGGUGUAGCGGUGAAAUGCGUAGAGAUCGGGAGGAAUACCGGUGGCGAAGGCGGCCCCCUGGACAAAGACUGACGCUCAGGUGCGAAAGCGUGGGGAGCAAACAGG
rnacentral:rRNA from 1 species